rnacentral:rRNA from 1 species
AUUGAACGCUGGCGGCAUGCUUUACACAUGCAAGUCGAACGGCAGCGCGGGCUUCGGCCUGGCGGCGAGUGGCGAACGGGUGUGUAAUGCAUCGGAACGUGCCCAGUAGUGGGGGAUAGCCCGGCGAAAGCCGGAUUAAUACCGCAUACGACCUGAGGGUGAAAGCGGGGGACCGAAAGGCCUCGCGCUAUUGGAGCGGCCGAUGUCGGAUUAGCUAGUUGGUGGGGUAAAGGCUUACCAAGGCGACGAGCCGUAGCUGGUCUGAGAGGACGACCAGCCACACUGGGACUGAGACACGGCCCAGACUCCUACGGGAGGCAGCAGUGGGGAAUUUUGGACAAUGGGGGGAACGCUGAUCCAGCCAUGCCGCGUGCGGGAAGAAGGCCUUCGGGUUGUAAAGCGUUUUUGUUCGGGAAGAAAUCCUCUGGGCUAAUACCCCGGGGGGAUGACGGUACCGGAAGAAUAAGCACCGGCUAACUACGUG